UACAGCCCCUGCCUUUCACCUGUGCCCAUGGCCUUGUACUUCAAGUCCCAGCGAUGCACCAAGUGGCAGAGGUCAGCUAUGGCCAGUUCCAGGAUGCUGCAGGCCAUAAGGUAGAUGUUUUGGAGCUGCUCUACCUCGGAAGGGUGGCCAGUUUGCUCUUGGUGCUUCCCCAAGACAAGGGCACUCCUCUGGACCACAUUGAACCACACCUCACAGCCAGAGUCAUCCACCUCUGGACCACAAGACUAAAGAGAGCCAGGAUGGAUGUGUUUCUCCCUAGGUUUAGGAUCCAAAAUCAGUUUGACUUAAAAAGUAUUUUAAGAUCUUGGGGUAUCACUGAUCUUUUUGACCCACUCAAAGCUAACUUGAAAGGAAUUUCAGCUGUGCUGCUGCUGAGGCGGUCUCGGACUCCUGCCUUUAAAGCAGAUCGGCCCUUCAUUUUUCUUCUGAGAGAACAUAACACAGGGUUUGUCUUCAGUAUUGGCAGAGUUUCAAAUCCCCUUGACUAAAAAAAACAGACCUCAAGAAUGUUUUCUCUAUGUAUGCUUUCCUUUAUAAAUAUUUACAAUUUCUUUUAAGGGUAUGUGAUUUCCAAAUAUUAUUAAUCUAAAAAUAAUUCAAUUAAAAAAAUAAUUUAAAAGUUU
rnacentral:lncRNA from 1 species